CAAGGGGCUGGAGUCGAGGCUACUAGUACCUAUACAUACCUUGCCGAGCAAUGAUCCAGUGAGAACAGGGGGCGGGGUCAUGACCAUGGGUCGAGGGAUUUCCCCCUCACUGGCACUCUUAUUCAUGGGCAGUGAAGUAUAAUUUAUGAAGCAGUACCAUGAACAGUUCACUUACUACAGUAGAACCUCGAUUAUCCGGCCCUCGAUUAUCCGGAACCUCGAUUAUCCGGCUUGACUUUUUUUUAUUUUAUCAGAUUACAUAAUUCAUAAAAUGGGCGUGUCCCUAAAAUGCGCAUGCGCGUUGCAGUUGUUACCAUGGAGACAUGCCUGCUUUUCUUUUGCGCAUGCGCAGACAACCAUGUGACACUGCUGUUCAUCAAUAAAGUGGGUGGAUCAAGGCGUGGUUUAUCUAUUCGAUUAUCCGGCAUAUUCACUUAUCCGGCCUGCUUCUGGAACCAAGGUGUCCGGAUAAUCGAGGUUCUACUGUAUUCUCUUCCAUACGAUCUUUGCCUGCAAAAAAACAGAAAUAAAACGUGAUUAAUUAAUUAAUAGUGCAUUUACACGGGUACAAUGAAGCAAUUACAAAUAUGGUAAUGGCUAUGAAUGACAUUAAUAUCACAUGACAAAAGCAAACAAAGAAAGCUACAAAACAGGAAAGAAGCCACUUGUGAAUCUACUACAAAGUUAUGGAUGAUCCUCCGUUUUUCCCAAGAUGCGGUAGAGGUCGCCAUAACAGACAUCAUCGCCGCGGUCCACACCACCCACACCAUCCUCACGGACCUCUUGGACACCCACACGGACCUCCCGGACACCCACACCACCCUCACGGUCCUCCUGGACACCCACACCACCCUCACGGUCCUACCGGACAUCCCCACGGGCCUCAUGGACAUCCACACCACCCCCAUCAUAGACCAUGGUUUCCACCUCCACACCGCAGAUGGCCUCCUCACCACUUUCCGCCACCAAUGAAUCCAGACUCUCCCGACCCCCCAAUUGAACCUCUGCAACAACCAAUCCUACCCCAAUACCAACCACCAAGGAACCUGAGUCAGUCAACUGAAGCUGUGAUACAAGGACUACAUGUACUUCAAAACCAAGAACAACUAAAAAAUCCGAGUCACUCAACUGAAGCUGCAGCAAUACAAGGACUACAUGUACUUCAAAACCAACAACCAAAAAGCCCGAGUCAGCCAGCGAUACAAGGACUACUCAGAACCGAUCACAACCAAGAAACCGAAAUCCAAAGUCACUCAACUGAAGCUAUGCAACAACUCAUACUUCAAUACAGGCAACAACUAAUACUUCAACACGGGCCACCACAAGACACACCAAGACAACUGCAGCCUAGAGCACAACCCCCAGAAGUGAGGCCACAACCAGAGCGAAGGGGGGGCUUUGAGUGUGAUUUUGUUGAGGAGCCCCCAGACUCUUUCCCCCAAUGGGAAUGCCCUGUGUGUUUAUUUGCCGCACGAGAGCCUCAUCAAGCUACGUGUUGUGGAUAUAGUUUCUGUAAAGGCUGUAUAGGAAGAGUCAAAAGAGACAAUAAAUCGUGUCCAACUUGCAACGAGAGAGAGUUUCAAACCUUCCACAACAAAGGGCUAGAAAGGUCGUUGUAUGGGUUCAAAGUGCACUGUACAAAUAGAGCUGAUGGCUGCGGAUGGAAUGGAGAGCUCCGAGAAUUAGAAAAUCAUUUAGAACAAGUACACAACUAGGAAUAUAGUCUACUUAGAAUUUGGGGGUGUAUGCAGCAAAUAACUAAUAAUGUAUUCAUGAUUUUUGCUGAAAUGUUUGUUACAAACCAUAUUUUUAUAGCUAAAUUCUAAGUGCAUGAUAAGUAUAGGAUAUACCACACCUAAGAGGAGGAUAUGCACCCAUAUAUCCUCCGCUACCGUGGUUACUCCGAGGCGGAGCCGAGGGGUAUGUAACCACGGUAGCGGAGGAUAUAUAGGGUGCAUAUCCUCCGAGUAGGUGUGGCAUAUCUGACUUAUACCACGUGACCGCAUCACUAUAAAAGGACCUCCCCCUAGCAACAAUUCAAUCACGAUGCAGACUGCAAAAAAGAACAAGACUAUGCCCGAUUUUGCAGCCGUCAAAGAGCUAGUUGAGCAACAUGUUGACUCCUACAGAUGCUCAAGAGCUUCCUUGGUCCAAGCGUUGACCAUUCGACGUCCCUUACUGGAGUUGCAAGCUCUUCUUGGAUAAAAUGUAUCUAAACCGCGCCCAUGGACCCAUGGAAGCUUAGCCAUCUUGUUGGAGAGCACCUUCCGUGUUUCUGCCGUUGCUUUGAGUCUUAGUACCGUCAAGCAUGGCUCUUUUCUCUUUGCUUACUUUCUUGAACAAAUGAAAAAACUAAAAAACAACUUGAAAAACUGUGCAUGCCUGGGGCUGUAUGCUAAUAUUCUAUAUAUCCUACAGCUGUUGACCAAUGAGAUCAAUUUGUGGUGACGUAAGUGUGGUAUAAGAUGAAUUCAUAAACGAGCACGCCACACAGACUCUAAUGUAUUCAUGACUUCAGCUAAAGUGUUAGUGCAAAUCAACUAAAUAGUUACAUGAAGGAUCAGGGUAUUCAUAAAUACUAGGAAGGACGAGCAGACUCUGUAUAAAAGGAGUGAGUGAUAUCUUAGACUUAGGCCACUCCAAAUGGACUGUAGUUUCCCGUCCAAACAAAGUGAGGCCACAACCAGACCAAAACGAAGUCAAGGUCCUCACGAUCGCAAAACCCAACGGCAGAUGUGUGGAGGAAAGGCGAGAUUGUUGACGAAGAUAGUUACAUGCAAAAAUGAAAAAAACAAGACAACAGAUGAAGAAAGCAGUGCUAAUUAUUAGUUAAGAAGUUAAAUAUGAAUAAUCGUUUUAGUUAAUAAUUUGUACCAACCCUCUUCCUCAUUUUGCGUCCACUUUCAUUUAGUGGCGGCCAACUAAGAAUAUAGUUUACUUAGAAUUGUGGGGUGUAUGUAUAUAAGAACAAGUGAUUUGUGUCAGCAGAAAUGUUUGUACACUCAUAAUUAGGAUAGACUCCUACGAGUAGAAUAUGCAUUUAUGCAACCAUUAAGAUGCAUAAUUAUACUACGAGUAAGGUAGUCUAACUUCCUUACGCAUGCGCGAGGCGUGGUUACAAAAAACUAGGUGUGGAUGCGUAGCAACAUAAUUUAGCUGGACGAGCUGGAGCAUGAGAGACACCCGGGCCAGUUGAGAGAAAAAGACGGAAGACAAUGAAAUGAAACAAAAAUUGACAAGAGAGCUCCGAGAAUUAGUACAUUGUAGAACAAGUACACACAAUCUAGAAAUAUAGUCUACUUACAAUUUUGGGGUGUAACCAAUAUAAGGAGCUAGCAUAAAUGUAUUCAGGUGUUUGUGCACCCAUAUUUUGUAGCUAAUUCAUUAAUGCUAGGAAUGCUGGGAAUGCUGAGCAUGGCCACACAGGCUCUGUAUACAAUGAGUUAGUGAUAUCCUACCUAUCACACUAGCUUGCUUGACUAAAAAAAAGUAAACAUAGCAAGGCAUAAUAAUUAUGAGUUCACGAUCUGAAGCUAUAAAGGAGGCAAGUCGAAGGCAUUGGCUUAGGAAAGACACUGAUCCAGGAGCUUCAGCCUAACACCAUUAUCAGGAGGCAUGAUUACUUAUGAGGAAGACAAAAAAAAAGAAGACGGAAGACAAUGAAAUGAAACAAAAAUGGAAAAGAAAGCUCCGAGAAUUAGCACAUUGUAGAACAAUUUAAGUACACAAAAUCUAGAAUUUUGGGGUGUAACCAAUAAUAAGGAGCUAGCAUAAGUGUAUUCAGGUGUUAGUGCACCAAUAUUUUGUAGCUAAUUCGUUAAUGCUAGGAAUGCUGGGAAUGCUGAGCAAUGGCCACACAGGCUCUGUAUAAAAGGAGUGAGUGACAUCCUACCUAUCACACUAGCUUGCUUGACUAAAAAAAAAGGACUGGACUAAGGGAAAACCUCCAGGAGCUUCAGCCUCAACAAUUCAAGUAAGCAAGAAAAGCAAAAAAAAAAAAAAACUGCUAAAGUACGUACAGUACCUGAAGUACCUAAGGGAGAAAAGAAGAAAGGCUCUGAUGAAAAGAAAGGCAAACCUAG